rnacentral:rRNA from 1 species
UACGUAGGGCGCGAGCGUUGUCCGGAAUUAUUGGGCGUAAAGGGCUCGUAGGCGGUUUGUCGCGUCGGGAGUGAAAACCUCGGGCUUAACUCGGGGCUUGCUUUCGAUACGGGCAGACUAGAGGUAUGCAGGGGAGGACGGAAUUCCUGGUGUAGCGGUGAAAUGCGCAGAUAUCAGGAGGAACACCGGUGGCGAAGGCGGUUCUCUGGGCAUGAUCUGACGCUGAGGAGCGAAAGUGUGGGGAGCGAACAGG